UGGCAACAUUUACCAGAAAAUCCAGCCCAGAGAGGAUGACAUAAUGAGAACUGCCAUCCUGCGAACAAGUCUAGAGAUUUGUGGGGUUCAGAGAGGCAAAACAAAAACCCAAAUGCUACAAGCACAUCAUGAGUUUGUAGACACUGCCAUCCGCCGUUGUCGUUGGUGGUACUUUCGGAUUCUUUGAUGCAGCGCUUGGAAAUAAAGCAGAACCAUGCACCCAGCAACACCUUUGAUCUCAACCAUAUGGAGCUCCACCAAGCUCUGGGAAAAAUUCUCCCUUGCCUCCGCAGCCGGCCGAGAGAAGUGGAGGCCCCCAGAUGGCCGGAUACCACGGGCGCCCGCACCCCGUGGGCCGAUGCGCCUUCCGAUUGGUCCCCACGGCAGAGGCAGAGGACUCGCUUCUCUCGCUGGAGGCAGAUCCACGUCCCCGACUUUGGUGGGGUCGAUGCUUUUGGCAGCUCGGUUUUUGGGGACAAAUAUUCGAAUAAACAGACCUGACCCCGUGGGGUUUGUUUCGGAGUGGGGUCUCACCACCAGGACAGAGCGGAGAAUGAACAUCCUGCCUGUGAGGGUUCUGGGGAAACAGUAUGAAACCGUAGACGCACAUGCACCUUCUGAACUUCUCCACUCUAUGAAAACAUGGAAGCCCAUUUAAUCACCCAAAGAAUAAAGUAUGUUUUCUGUAACUCUUGUCUUCAUGCUAAACACUCACCUGUCUACACCAUGGAUGUGAGGCAUGUGCGAGGCGUGUGGAGAGAGAAUCAUGGUGUCCACUUGUACAGAACUUGCAAUGUAUGUACUAUCCUGUUAUAGGUAACCAUUUAUAGGUUGCUCUAUAAUUUAGACUGUUCUUCUGUAUUUCCCUUGGCCUGUGUUAACCUUUAGACUUCCCAUUUUCCAAAGAACCCCAGCCAAAACACACACACCCCUUGUUACUAACUAGAGAACUUUGAUAGGCAGGAUAGAGCUCUAAUAGAGAAACUAAAAUAGCAGAUCCUGCCUGGCUCCUGCCUCCCUGAGCUCCUCUCCCUCUAGCUGGGACCCUUCACCCCCACUCCCAGGCCUAACCCCGAUGCUGGACCCCAGGAACAGUGUUGCCUGUCUGGUGGGGGCCCUGGAGCAAGAGCUCUCUAUUCUGUUAGCUCAGCUGCAAGUCUCCAGGGGGUUUCUCUGCUGGAGGUGCUUCCUGGUGACCCAGGUCACUCCGGGCCCCUUGGGCUUCGCCUUGCCCUGCUCUGGCAUGGGGUCUCCCCCAGGCAUGGGCACUGGCUCUAAUCAACCAAGGAAUGACAGACUAUGCAGAUGUUGCACACCUGUUCCUGGACCCCUGUCCCUUGCUCCCACAGCCCUCACCCUCUGCAGCGAGGCAGGAUAUUUUAUGGAUAGGUCAUUCUGGGUUGCAAAAGUCAACUCAACUCAAACUGUCAAGUGACUUCUGCUUGGAGGAAUUUUUUUUUUUUUUUAAGAGACAAGGUCUUGUAUGUUGUUCAGACUGGUCUCAAACUUCUGGG